ensembl:lncRNA
GCACCUUCCCAAUGGGCUCCAGCGCUGGUACAAAUCAAUCCAGUCCCAAUCCCAAUCCCAGUCCCAGUCCCGGGUGCUGGGCAGGGCUGGGAAUUCCAGGGGUCCCAGGGCUGAGAACGGAGCGGCUCCUUCCCCUGAUUUGAUCCCUGUUCCAUUUUCUCCGGGCGGGAGAGGCUGCUCCAGGCUGGAGCCAUCCCAGGCUGUCCCUGGCGCUCUCAGAGGCCAUGGAGUUUCCCUUUUCCUUCUUUCUGUCUUUGCCUUCCAUGUCCAACCCGGCUGCGGCGUCAGUUGAGGGGAAUUCGGGUGGAAAUGUGGAGUUUUCCAGGCAUUCUCCUUGCUGUGACAUUUUCCAAACCUUUCCUUUACCCUGCCUGAGGCCUGGGAUCCGCGGGGAUGAUCCCUGCUGCACGUCCCGGUCCCGAGGGGUUCCUGGUGGUUUUCCCUGGUGAAUUCGCUCCAGCAAAUCCCUCCUUGGCUCCGUUUCCCCCCGGCCUGCUCCGUCCAUCCGCACUCGGAGUAUCCCACGGUUGCUGUUGAGUUGGAGCCUCUGGAGCCGCCGUUCCGCGGCUUUUCCAUCCCCUGGCUGGGACCCCCGGGCUGUGACUGUUAGCACAAAGCACAGACAUCCCCGGGACGCCCCGGGGCCGCCUCCAGAGCCCCAAACCGAUCUAAAAAUGACCCAGGCUGGGCUGUUUGUUGGGAAUAAUCCGGAUCUCCAGGAGAGCGGGGGGCUCUGGGACCACGGCGGUGCCCGGGGCUGGCAGGGCCAUCCGGGCAUCUCCUGAGGGAGAUUCUGUCCGGGCUCCGUGCUCAUCCCAGGGGAUCCGUGCCCGUCCUGGGGGCUCUUUGCCCAUCCCGGGGUCUCUGUGCCCAUCCCGGGGGCUCCGUGCCCGUCCCAGGGGAUCCGUGCCCAUCCCGGGGGCUCUGUGCCCAUCCUGGGGGCUCCGUGCCCAUCCCGGGGGCUCCGUGCCUGUCCUGGGGGCUCCGUGCCCGUCCCGGGGGCUCCGUGCCCAUCCCAGGCCGUGCCUGGCUCCUUGCCUUGGCUCAUUUUGGGAGAAGGCCUUGGGAAUGGCACCUCUGCCAUCCCCACGUCCCGGCUGAGGCAGAGCUGAUUCCAGGCUGUGGGAUGGGAGCCGGAGCCUUCCCUGAGCACGGGAGAUCCCAUAAAUCCAGCAGCCCGAGCAGAGGGAGGCACCGUGGCCGUGGGGAUUCGUGGAUUUGGGAAUCUUGCGGGGGUCCCCAGCCCGAGCCCGGAUUUUCAGCUCCUCUUCCCAAAUCCUGCCGUGGUGUCCCGAGCUGAGUCUCCCUGAAAUCUGCGCUGGCAGCGGGGACGUUGCCAAUUCCCGAGGGAAUUCCCGGGGCUGGGGGUGUCCCGGUGUCCCCCGGGAGCAGCAGCGGGGGGGACUCGAUGCCUUUCUCCACAACCACCGGCCCCGCAAAGCAAUAAAACCACGGAGGGGCCGCGGGGAGAUCCCGGAGCCGCUCCCGGCCCGGGCGGGCACGAGGGCGAUGCCGGGGGAGCCUUCUCACGAUGCCAACUGCCCUUAAACUGGGAUCCGGGUCUUUGUAAGCAAUGUCUGUGUAUUAUGUGUAAAUAUGAGGGACAAAUUUGAAAUUACUGCCUUUUCCCUGUUUAUUUUUCUGAGUAAUUCCAGAUGUACUUUAGUCUCUCUACUGUCAAAACUUUUAUAUUGUAAAUCUGAUGCUGGUGGCUUUUUUGGUUAUUUUGGUUUUUGGUUUGGUUUUUUUUUUUUUUUUUGUAAAAAAGCGACCAAAAAAGAAAAAAAAAAAAAAAGAAAAUAAGAAAAAGGAAAAAAAGUCUGCAUCUCUCUAUGUUGUCAGUUUUAGGCUGUAAAUUCCAACUAUCAAUAAAAGUUC